CCUUGAGCUGACAUUGUUGGGAAAUGAC
rnacentral:piRNA from 1 species